GGAUGUAGCUCAGUGGCACAGCACCUGCCUGGCAAGUAUGUGGUCCUGGGUUAAAUUCCCAGUACCA
rnacentral:tRNA from 1 species